UGGCCGUAGAUGUUCGUGGGCAAGGAAUCCGGGGCGUGUGGAAGCGAGGUUCGAGCAUGAACAUGGCGGAAGGGGACACCCUGAUAUCGGUGGAUUAUGAGGUGUUUGGGAAGGUGCAAGGGGUGUUUUCCGCAAGUACACGCAGGCUGAGAGUAAAAGGCUGGGAUUGGUAGGCUGGGUCCAGAACACAGACCAGGGCACAGUGCAAGGACAAUUGCAAGGUCCCAUCUCCAAAGUGCGUCAUAUGCAGGAAUGGCUUGAGACAAAAGGAAGUCCCAAAUCACACAUCGACAGAGCAAACUUCAACAAUGAGAAAGUCAUCUUAAAGUUGGAUUACUCAGAUUUCCAAAUUGUAAAAUAAUGCCCUGAAUUCAAAUUUUCCAAGAGAAACUCAGAGGUUUUGCUUUUCUUGUUAAUAGAGAUAGAAUUAUUCUGAGUAAUAUUAGAAUUUGUCAGUUAGUUAUUUUAGUUUCAGAUACCUGAAUGUUACUGUAUAUAAUAUGUAUGAUGGAAGGAAUGAUUACAACUGUAC